rnacentral:rRNA from 1 species
UACGGAGGGUGCAAGCGUUAUCCGGAAUUACUGGGUUUAAAGGGUGCGUAGGCGGCUAAGUAAGUCAGAGGUGAAAGCCCGGAGCUUAACUUCGGAAAUGCCUUUGAUACUGCGUAGCUUGAAAGAGGUUGAGGUCAGCGGAAUGUGACAUGUAGCGGUGAAAUGCAUAGAUAUGUCAUAGAACACCAAUUGCGAAGGCAGCUGGCUGGGCCUACUUUGACGCUGAGGCACGAAAGCGUGGGGAGCGAACAGG